rnacentral:tRNA from 1 species
GACAUCCGUCGAUUUUAGAAAUCGUGAGG